rnacentral:rRNA from 1 species
CUUCAAUAGUCGCAAUUCUGUGCUAAGGUAGUAUAAUAAUUUGUCUUAUAAUUUGAGACCAAACAAAAGGUUUAACAUUUUAAUUAAUAUAAAUUUUUAAACUUUAAAAUUUUUUUAAUUAUAAAAAAAUAAUUAUAAUUAAAAAAGACGACAAGACCCUAUUGAACUUAACUUUAGUUAAACUGGGGUAGUUUAUUAAAUAAAUCUUAAUAUUAAUACAAACUCAUAUGACCUAUUACAAUUAAUUAAAAAAUCAAGUUACCAUAGGGAUAACAGCGUAAUAAUUUUUAAAAGUUCUUAUUUUAAAAAAAGCUUGCGACCUCGAUGUUGAAUUAAUAUUCUAAUAUUAACGUAAUAGUAAAUAAAGAAAGUCUGUUCGACUUUUAAAUAAUUACAUGAUCUGAG